UUUUCUACUAUCCCAUUGAAACAAGCUGUCAUUGUCUGGAGCUUUAUGAAAAUUAUCAUUAACCACAAAUUGACUGCUCUAUUCUGCUUAUCCAGUAAACACACUUAACAGCCUCUGACAAGGCUCAUUGCUUGCCUACAUCUAGUGGAAUAACUUCAGUGUGAAAAGAACUGCAUAAAAAUCAAAUUCUUGUCCAUCCUUCUGUCACUGUUCACUGUGAAAAAAGCAGUAAGCAGAUAGAUACAGCUCAGAUUAAUGCAUAAAGUCUCAAAGGCAAAACACUUUUUUAGGCAUCAAGAAAGUUCUGCUAAUUUUUCUGUUCUUCACACCCAGAUGUUAUCCAGGAGGGGACCUUGAAAAGAGCUUUACAUUCUCUGAGCUCCACGGUGAAAAAAUCUGCUAUGGGACCAUGGAUGAAGAAAUACAGAGGCUUGACAUCUCUCUGAAUACCCAAAGCACAAGGGAAAAUGACAGAGUUACGUACUAGAAAACAAAUAUCAGUACGUGCAAGACUUUGUGCAUUAUUUUGCAAGCACACUUGUUUGGAUAAAGAUUAAGAAAGAGUUUGAAGAAAGCUUUGAGAUAAUGGGCUGUGGAAGACAGAAGAGUGAACCAGUCUCCUUCCUUGUUCUUCAGUUCAGACGAUCAUUAGUUUGGACAACUGGAGGAUGGAGAUCCCAGGACUUACUGAAAGAGUAAGUUUGCUGUUUUAUAUGAAUGCAGAAAGCCUGGUAGUCAGUGUCUUUGUACUGAGGCAGAAACAAACAAAAAAAAGAAAUGUUACAGUAGCAUGUAUACACAGGGUUUACAUGGAUAAAAUGUUUGUAAUCUACCUCUGCACUGAUCAGAUGAAGACUUGUAGUCUGUCACAGGAGCCAUUGCCCAGGAUGCCAUUCCUCCUUUGGAGUCACAGAAGGCAGUAAGAGUAAUCAGGUGUUUAGAAACCAUGAUUUGGGAAAGCACUGUUCAGUCUACAGAAAGGAAAAGACAGGGCUUUGAAAUGUUUGGAGGACAACUGCAAAAGAGGAAGUAAUCUUUGUUUUCCAUGUCCAUUGGAAUUAGAAAUGGCUAAUUUAUCUUGGGCAGUAAGAAAAAAUUAUGUUGAGUGAUAGGAGAAUGUACAUAUACAAAACAAAAAGCAGAUCUACCACAUAGCAAAAUAAAUGCAUAAACCAAGAUGUGGAUCAGUUUCUGCUUUGAAAAAUAUUUGACUUAAACAGGGCCUGAGUGCUGCUCAGCUAGGUUUAGCUCAACUAGGUGCUGCUAGCAGGCCACUUGAGGAAAAGCAUGGUGGCAGCCAAGGACCAAUAGCUGAGAGUAAUGGUGUGAUGGAGAGGUUUGGAAUGGUUUGGACCUCAAAAUUGUUCCCGAUUUCUUGAAGGAUCUAAGUCACAGUAGAACUCUAGAGAUAUAUAGAUAUAGAUUUUUCUUACAGCAGUUGAUCUGGCAAUGAAGAGAGUUUGAUUAGAUUUUCUGCAGACAGAGUUGUUGGCAGUCCAUAAGCCUGAUAAUUAAAAUGGAAACACAGUUAAAAUUUGUUUCCUCUAUUGUCAGUUAUUUUCAAUAGAACUUCAUCCAAGUAUACACUGGUAAAAUUGUGUGAGAGUAAGGCAACACAAACCUGUGUCAAGAUCAAUCAACCUCAUGAUUUCUCCUAUCUAAGUCUUAAGGAAUGUUCCUUGAAGAUCUUUAUUUUCUAUAGUGUGUAUUACUAAAAGAAGUCAAUGUUCAGGGAGAAGCAGUAAGAGAGGCUUUUAAUAUACUUCAUUUUCUGCUUUAAAUUGUAAUUCACAUAAGUAUUGAGUAUGUUCCAACCAGAAUGGUGGGAAUGUUGCCUGGUGUUACUAACUAACGUAUUCAGUUCCAUAAGCCCCUCACCACAUAGAAGCUAAUUGCAAGGAUUAGAGUACACCAACACACUUAAGCUCCACUCCUGUGGGUUUGGGGAGAAACAACACAUUUCAACAUUCCAGCUACAGUUCCCCUGGCAACGUACAUAACAACAACUCACUAAAAACUGUGGAUUUCUGUUUUCUUAACCCUUAGAACAUUGACUGAAUGAAUACUUCAUUGAGGAAACAGUUCAGUCAACCAGAUAUAGUCAAAUACUCUUGAAUCCAUCAGUCCUUUUCUCCUUAAAAAAAAAAAACACAAAAGCAGUUGAAUUCCAUGUCAAACUGAUCUCCUCCCCUAGCAUUAAAGUGUUUAACUCAAACAAAUGUGCAUACCAUUAGCAAACCUCACCUAAAGGUCUGCAUGAAAAGACUUAAAAAAAAAUAUAUCAAUAUCUAAGAUCACUAUAAAGUUCCUAGACAUCAAAGGACACACAGAAAAAUACACAAUGAAUUUCACAAAGCACAUAGAUACUCAUAAGAGAUGAAACAAAACAAAAUUAGCAUUUAUGUAUAAAACACAAUAUUUUCCUAUCAGUUAUUAUAACAAUGAUAAUGCCUAUAGCAACUUUACAAUUCCUUUGAGAAUUUCAAAUACUUCAUAAAUAUUAGCUAAUACCUUGCAAUAAUAUAUACACCAUUGUUGUGAAAUACACGAGAUUUGCUCCAGAAUUUGUUCCACUGCCCAAUGAACUAGAAUCUCUUGUGAUGGAAUCACAUCUGCUACUUAGCAGUGGCUGUUCCUAUCACAUAAAGGAGCCACCAGCUAAAUGCAUGUGCAGGAUGUUGGAAGUCACCAGACCUCACCUGAACCUCACAAAGAGCUGCUGUAGAUUUUGGGUUGUCAAUAGCAGGCAGAAUUAAUGAACGCACGUGGCCAUAGUUCUUAGUGGCUGCAAGCACCACUGGUAUUUUAAGAUAAUAGUUUGAUCCCUGGUAUUUUUCUCAGGAGUCUGCAUUUGUGUAAGCAUUUAAGAAUGAUAUCUCCUGGAAAGUUUUAGGCUGUGGUGGGGGAGGUGGUGGCAGUGGUAUAGUAGUUUUCUGAAGAGAGACUACCUUGCUUCCUCAGAAUGCAAGAAUUGACCUGAUGAGGUUCUUAGAGAGCAAGAGAAGACAUCUACCUAUAUCAAACAUAUGACUGUUCCCAGUGCACUAGUGCACACUUACUUACACAAAGGAAGAGUUGAAGGCUGCAAAACUAAAUCACAGAUCAAAAAGAUGUCAGUGCACUUUGAAGCAAUUACCUUUCAUAACCUGGAUUUUCUCCCUUUCCCUCCAUAAGCUUUAUUUUUUUUCUUAAAAGGAGUCGAUGUGAUCUUCCCUUAGAUCUUCCAUCCCAUGAUGAAAACCAUUGCCUCAUUUUGUAGCUUUGAACAGAUACAAGAAAGAUCAAGUCUAAUUCUGAAGAUCAGCAAAUCUGAAAGUGUGGGAGCAGAACAACAACCAAACAAAAAAAAAA